rnacentral:lncRNA from 1 species
CACAUGACUGUGAUGCACAAAUUCUUUAAGUGUAAGGAGUCUAUGCAUUUUACAGUAACUUAUUUUAUGAUUGGGAGAUGAGACAGUUAUACAUUCAACUGCCAUUAUUUUUAUUAAGUGCUUUCAUUUUCUUUACAGUUAUUACAAAAUUGUAUUUAUUUUAUACAGAUGGGUUUUCAUUUUCCUGAUGCUGUAAUGUUUACUUCAGCUUGUUGACCUUUCUUUGUGUUAUCUGCAUGUUGUAACGUGUGAUAAGAAUGAAUGUAAAGGCUGUGGCAACUGUAAUUAAUUUUUGUAAAGGGCUGGUCACACGUGGAUCUGGUUUAUGAAUGUAUUUGGGAUGAUUUUAGUAACCAGAUCACCUUUUCAGAAAUUUAGAUGUGAACACCAAAAGAUGCAUUUUCUCAACAAAAAUUAAUAGCUGGUUCUAUUUUUUUAAACCUAGAAAAAAUAAAGUU